AAAAAGGUAAGCUAAUGGUAAGCUAAUGGGUUCAUACCCCAUUUAUAGGAGUCAUCCUCCUUUUUA
rnacentral:tRNA from 1 species